UCGUAGGUACCUGCGGUAGU
rnacentral:sRNA from 1 species